rnacentral:rRNA from 1 species
CCCUUAGAUGUUCGGGGCCGCACGCGCGCUACACUGAAGGAAUCAGCACGUCUUUCUCCUUGUCCGAAAGGACUGGGUAACCCGCUGAACCUCCUUCGUGCUAGGGAUUGGGGCUUGUAAUUCUUCCCCAUGAACGAGGAAUUCCCAGUAAGCGCGAGUCAUAAGCUCGCGUUGAUUACGUCCCUGCCCUUUGUACACACCGCCCGUCGCUACUACCGAUUGGAUGGCUUAGUGAGAUCCUCGGAUUGGUCCCGGAGCGGCCUCUGGUCGUGCCGGAGUGCCGAAAAGAAUGUCGAACUUGAUCAUCUAGAGGAAGUAAAAGUCGUAACA